GUUCAACCUUCAACGCUGAUAUCUCCGCUCGCCGCCGCGGCCGUUGUGUGCCUCAGUAAACCGCUUGUUCGGACGAAGUGUCGUGUACAACAAUAUCAAAUCGUCGUCACAAGUUACAAUCGUUGCCUUGUUUCUUGUCCGCGACGGUUGGCGUGAGGUGGCGUAAACAUUGCCGCCGUAAACGUCGUCGUCGUGCCGCCGCCGAAGUCAGUCGAUGCGAUCGUCGUUCGGCUCCGACGAGUACCUGUCUGGUACUCGUGAAACCACUGCCGUCGUUCCGGCUCGGAGUCUGUGUGCCGCGCAAGAGGCGGAAGUCAGUAAUCGGUCAGCUUCACGUCCGGACGUCCGGUCUGAAGCGACCAGAGGAUGCCGGAACAAUGCCGGCCCGGGUAUAUAGAUACAAUGUAUUCUAAUAAACCUGAAAUGGUGGUUUUCAGACCUUCAUAGAGUAAGUUUCAACAUUUUAGUACCUAGCUAAUUUAAGCUGAUGAAAUCAAAAGGAGCUCAUAAGGCUGGGAUGGCAAAAAUUAUUCUACCAUCUGAAUGAAUACCAAGAACAAAGCGCUACAAUGAAGAUGAUAGUUCAAUUUCAAAAUGCAGUAACACCAAAUGAAAUGGGACUAACAAAAUAAAAAUAAACUGCGUCAUUGUUGAUUUUGAAUUCACCCUCAUACUAUCCACCCUCAUAUUAAUAGCUGGAGCAAUAUCAAAUAGCCACAACAAAUCUAAAACCUUUAAAAUGAGAGGGCAACCUCUUAUAUUAAAAAUAGAUCAUCAAUCAACAGACAUCACAAAAUUGACAAGGGAGGACAUCAACCUAAUAAUAAAAACAAUAAUCCACAUAUUUAAAAACAAACCAGAUAAACAAGAGCUAAUCAUGAAUGAGCUCAAUGAGAGCUUUCUGGUAUAACCUAGGAUAUAUCAACAAAAAUGGUAGGAACUUAGACAAAACAUAGGACAGAAUUAUUAUGUAAACAAUCAUACAAUGACACUUAUAUUCAUGAUCCUGUAACAGACAAAUCAGUUCUGUUAACCUCACUAAAUGCAUAUUCAACCAUCUAAUAUUAAACACAGAAACCACAUUAGAAAAUCUUAUAUAACAAUCCUUAACCAAUUAAAACUAUUAUCUACCUACUCAGCCACUUAUCACACAAAAUUCUUUCACACCAAAAAUAAUAAUAAUAACCAGUCGCACAAUAAUUAUUAUUAUGCAAUUGAUAAUUUGUACUAGUUGUGAAGUAAAUAUGUAUUUGUUUUUAGUUUUUACUUUUAUAAUAUUUUAAUGCUAAUAAGUCUUAUUCUCUAUCCCCUUUUUUAGUGCGUUGAUUUGUUAAUUUACACUUAUAACUUUAAUAAUUCAGUUGAUCUUAAUGUUUAAGUUAUAGGUUAUUGUUUUGCUAAAUAGUAUCCCUUUUAAUUGAUAUAGAUUUCUACUUUAAUUUUCUAAUAAUUCUUAGUGUUAAUCCCCAGUUAAUUUAUACUUUUGAUUAUGAUUUUCUUUUUUUUUUUUGUAUAUUUUGUAAUUUUGUAGAUAAUAUGUUGAUAAGUCUUAAUAUUA